rnacentral:rRNA from 1 species
UACGUAGGGUGCAAGCGUUGUCCGGAAUUAUUGGGCGUAAAGAGCUCGUAGGCGGUCUGUCGCGUCUGCUGUGAAAACUCAGGGCUUAACCCUGAGCUUGCAGUGGGUACGGGCAGACUAGAGUGCGGUAGGGGAGACUGGAAUUCCUGGUGUAGCGGUGAAAUGCGCAGAUAUCAGGAGGAACACCGGUGGCGAAGGCGGAUC